GACAGCAGUCGCCACGGUAAUACGAAGGGGGCUAGCGUUGUUCGGAUUUACUGGGCGUAAAGCACACGUAGGCGGACUUUUAAGUCAGGGGUGAAGUCCCGGGGCUCAACCCCGGAACUGCCUUUGAUACUGGAAGUCUUGAGUAUGGUAGAGGUGAGUGGAACUGCGAGUGUAGAGGUGAAAUUCGUAGAUACUCGCAAGAACACCGGUGGCGAAGGCGGCUCACUGGCCCGGAACUGACGCUGAGGCACGAAAGCGUGGGGAGCAAACAGGAUUAGAUACCCCUGUAGUCCCUGUCUCUUAUAC
rnacentral:rRNA from 1 species